UACGUAGGUGGCAAGCGUUGUCCGGAUUUAUUGGGUUUAAAGGGUGCGUAGGUGGUCUAUUAAGUCAGUGCUGAAAUAUCCCGGCUUAACCGGGAGGGUGGCAUUGAUACUGAUAGACUUGAGUAGAGUUGAGGUAGGCGGAAUUGACGGUGUAGCGGUGGAAUGCUUAGAUAUCGUCAAGAACACCAAUAGCGAAGGCAGCUUACUAAGCUCUAACUGACACUGAUGCACGAAAGUGUGGGGAUCAAACAGG
rnacentral:rRNA from 1 species